CUCUACUUCCCCUCUUUCUCUUCCUCUUCAACAGCCUUCCCCAUCAUUUACUCAAAACCCACCAAGAAAACUAUCUUCAACUCCAUCACCUAUAACUACCCUCAUUUCCAAGAAAUUUGAACAAGAACCCACCUCAGAAACACCCUCUGCAGCUCCAUGGAUCGAUACUCUUCGAUCCCAAGUACGCUUAAUCUGCUUCAAAGAUGCAAUCUUGGUGAUAAUUUUGUUUUCCCUGCAGUUCUGAAGGCUGCUACCGGCCUUCAGGACUUGAAUCUUGGAAAACAGAUACAUGGUUCUGUUGUUAAAUUGGGGUAUGAUACGAUAUCGUCCACCGUGGGAAAUUCGCUUAUCCAUUUGCUUGGGCAAUGUGGUGGUAGUGUUAAUGAUGUUUGUAAAGUGUUUGAUAGAAUUACCCAAGGAGAUCAAGUUUCUUGGAAUUCUUUAAUAUAUGCUCUUUGUAAAUUUGAGAAGUGGGAGUUAGCAUUGGAGGCUUUUAGGCUGAUGGAUUCGAGGCUAGUUCGUUUACGUUGGUGAGCGUGGCGCUUGCUUGUAGUAAUUUGCCUAGGACUGAUGGGUUGAGGCUUGGCAAGCAAGUUCACGGGUAUAGUUUGAGAAUAGAUGAUAGGAAAACAUUUACUAACAAUGCUUUGAUAUCUAUGUAUACCAAAUUAGGAAGGGUUGGUGACUCAAGAGCUGUUUUUUGAAUUGUUUGCAAACCGGGAUAUUGUUUCGUGGAAUACUAUUAUAAGUUCUUUUUCACAGAAUGACCAGCUUAAAGAGGCGUUGGACAACUUUAGUCUCAUGAUACAAGAAGAGAUAAAGCCUGAUGGAUUCACGAUUUCAAGGGUUCUUCCUGCGUCUUCUCAUUUGGCUUUGCUGGAUGUUGGGAAGCAGAUUCAUUGUUAUGUCUUGAAGAAUGAUGAUAUGAUUGGGAAUCCAUUUGUUGCUAGUGCAUUGGUUGACAUGUAUUGCAAUUGUCGACAGGUUGAAAGUGGGCGUGAAGCAUUGGGCUUUGGAAUGCUAUGCUCGCUGGCUUCACACAAAAUGGAUUCUUUAAGGAGGCAUUGCUGUUAUUUACUGAGAUGUUGGAAUUCUCUGGGAUAAGUCCUAACCCGACUACUAUGGCAAGUGUUUUGCCUGCCUGUGCACAUUAUGAAGCAUUUACCCUUAAAGAAGUCAUACAUGGGUGCUCUCCAGUCCAGGGCGAUUUAAUAGUAAUGUUAUAUGCCUAAAAUAUCUCUGGUGUAAAAACCAUGUUCUGAAAUUGCAUUAUAUCAGUAAUACCGGCAUUCGAGGAAGCUAUUACUGGCAUGGCAGUUGGUGGUAUCAGAAGGAUCAUAGUUCCUCCGGAGCUGGGAUACCCUGAUAAUGACUACAACAAGAAAGGUCCAAGACCAACGACAUUUUCGGGACAAAGAGCUCUGGAUUUUGUGCUGAGGAACCAAGGAUUAAUUGAUAAGACUCUCCUGUUUGAUAUUGAGCUCCUCAAAAUCGUACCAAAAUGAAGUUCCUUGUUCAACGUUUACUACGACGCCCUGUUUAGCUGCAUCAGCAAGUUUAACUUCCACUUGGACAAAAGGAAUAUCAGCCUAAUGAACGACUGAAUCGUCCCUUAUAGAGACUUUACUGUCUUGUUUGAACGCAUUAAAUUGUCGAUAGAUUCAUUUUGAAAAUCAAUGUAAACAAUGAUGGGUCUACGUACUGUUGUUGUAACGAUGUAACGACAUCUCUUAUGUUCAAAAAUUUGACUAUUUCUUGUGAAAGUGAUAUUUCAGGA